rnacentral:rRNA from 1 species
GACGAACGCUGGCGGCGUGCCUAAUACAUGCAAGUCGAACGGAAGGGUCCGGGCUUUGUGGCAUGCCCGCGUGGCGAAACGGGGAGUAACACGUGGGUAACCCGCCCUUGACUACGGGAAAAAUUCCGGAAACUGGGGCCAAUACCGGGUAAACGCUUCCCCUGCCUUGUGGGAGAUGGGAAGUUUCGGCGGUUGGGGAUGGUCGCGCGGCGUAUCAGCUCGUUGGUGGGGUAGUGGCUUACCACGGCUUUGAAGGGUAGCCGGCCUGAGCGGGUGGGCGGCCACAAUGGGACUGAGGGACGGACCAGACGGCUACGGGAGGCAGCAGUGGAGAAUAUUGCAGAAUGGGCGGAAGCCUGAUGCAGCAACGCUGCGUGCGGGAUGCCGUCUUUCGGGGUGUAAACCGCUUUCGGCUGUGACGAAGCGUGAGUGACGGUAAUGGGUAAGGAAGCAACGGCUAACUACGUG